GGCAGUGUGGCCGAGUUGUUUUAGGGCGCUGGUCUUGUAAUCCGGAGGUCCCGGAUUCAAGCCCUCCAUCCUGCCACUAGCUG